GCAAGUCGAGCGGUAACAGGAAGUAGCUUGCUACUUUGCUGACGAGCGGCGGACGGGUGAGUAAUGCUUGGGAAUCUGCCCAGUCGAGGGGGACAACAGUUGGAAACGACUGCUAAUACCGCAUACGACCUACGGGUGAAAGGGGGCCUCUUCUUGAAAGCUCUCGCGACUGGAUGAGCCCAAGUGGGAUUAGCUUGUUGGUGAGGUAAGAGCUCACCAAGGCGACGAUCCCUAGCUGGUCUGAGAGGAUGAUC
rnacentral:rRNA from 1 species